AACCUUGCUCCAAAUUUACAGUCGGUUUCAAGUUUCCUGGCAAUAGGAAGUUGAAAAUUCAUAUUUCUCCCGGUUUUUCCUCCUCCUCAAAACCCAUGACUUUUUCGGUGCUCUGUUGAGUGCUUCAUCGUUAACCAUUACCACUCUGUUUUCUAGGAAAAUGAUUGGCAAAACGCGAACAUUAAAAGGUGUAUGAUUCUCUUCGAGGGGUUCUUUGACAGGUUCAAAUACCUUGGGAAGUGCUACUACCGAUAGUCAAAGCACGAGAGAAGAAACUCCAACUCAAUCAGCUGAAAAAGUACCUGCAACUCCGGCUGUUUGAUCUCCAAGGUAAGGUGGAGGACUCUAACAUCCUCUCACAUGUUGGAAAACUCCGGAAGGAGUUUAAAUCAACUUUGAAAACUAGAUACUACAAAGAGAUGGUUCAAGAAGGUCGAUCGCUUGAAGAAAUAUAUGAAAACAAUCCUCUUGGUGUGCAUGAUGAUCAAUAGAAGUGGCUAGUGGAGCGAUGGGGAACACUGCAAGCUGCGGUAUGCACUUUUAUUAGACUAAAUGUCCCAUUUUUUCUGCUUCCACUUACUGUAUGAUCAAAGUAAGGGUGCAUAUAUGCGUGAUUUGUUGAAUGAGUCAUAAUAAACUUAGCUUUCCUAUUACUCUCAUAUUUUUUUCUCAUUAAUUUAAACAACAAGCACAAUCAGAAAAGGCGAAAGAAUUCCAAACAAAUGUGUGUUAUGCACACACCGCUGGUAACAUAGGAUAUGCGACCCUCAAUGCACAAUUUGUUGUGAACCCUCGUGUUUGGACCAGUUUAGAUUUCAACAUUUGCGAAAAGAUGGGGGUGACAAAUUGAGCAGUGAGGCAGCAGAAUAAGUUUAUGUAAGAAACAAAUGGGUAUUAUUUAUUUAUAUAUUUUUUGACAUCAAUUUUACUUUUUUUUCAAAAUAUAUUUUUCUAAUGAAAGAGAACUGUAAGAUGAAGCAUGUAAGAGGGUUAAAGACUCUAUGCCAACACCUGAGAGUUCUUUCGCUGCUCAAGAUAAUAUUGCAUUAGAAAACGAGGUGUAUACACAAGUGUUCGGCCUUGACAAGGAUGGAAAAUGUUGGGAUAUGGACGUGGGAUGACCAAAUCCAGGUUGUUUGGCUAUGGUUCAGUCACCCGAGGAAGCCAAUCUACAUUGGCCAUCAGUACAUUGAUUGAAGGGAUAAGCGCUAAACAUGUCUAGCAAAUACAAACAAUUCAAGCCGAACAAGCAAUUUGAGAGAAAACUCUACUCGAGGAAGCAGAAUCUCGAUUUCGUACGGAGGCCGUAGAGCGAGAAGCUCGUUUGAUAGUUGAGGCAAAAGAAAGAUUUAUGAAAUUAACUGAAAUUUGAGAGGCAAAUUUCAUGGACAUGAUGGAUGCUCGUGAGAAAAAGUAUAGGGCUCUCCUCAACAAGUGUAUGGCAAAGGGAAUGUCAAGUAAGUACAGGGCUUUUCAUAGUAAGCAUAGUAAGGUGACUAUUUUAUAACUAGUUUGUCAAUAAGUUUGUCAAUGGUUUAAUAGACAUUGAUUGUUGUAACUGAAUGCUAGGUUCUUAUUUGAUGUCUUCAUUGCUUGCUCAACUAAUAAUUAGUGGAUGUACUGAUGAAAAUUCUUUAUUUAACUUCAAUUUAUGGUUCUUUGGUUAAUUCUAAAAUA